ensembl:lncRNA
ACCAAAACAUGCUAACAAGUGCACUGGGAGACACUUCAAAGAAGUGGAGCGGCCAAAGAGUAAACUUUCAAAACUGAACAGGCUCUUGAGAUCCUGCGUGUGCUGCCAUCACUGUUCCCAUCCACCUCUGCUCCUCCAAAGAGGGCACGGGAUGCGAGUGAGGCUCUGGUGCAUGUCCUUGAGGACCAAGAAGACCCUAAUACCUAUUUGAUGAAACGUCCUCUCUCCUGCCCAGUCCUGAUCGUGAGUCCGUCCAACUGCAUCCUAGCGGUAGGAGAUGUGCCAAUAACCACGUUUCCAAAAGACGAGGUUACGGAGGG